rnacentral:rRNA from 1 species
UACGUAGGGGGCAAGCGUUGUUCGGAAUUACUGGGCGUAAAGAGCGCGUAGGCGGCCAGAUAAGUCCGGUGUGAAAGUCACAGGCUCAACCUGUGAAUGCCGCUGGAAACUGUCUGGCUAGAGUCCGGAAGGGGCGAGUGGAAUUCCUGGUGUAGCGGUGGAAUGCGCAGAUAUCAGGAGGAACACCAAUGGCGAAGGCAGCUCGCUGGGACGUGACUGACGCUGAGACGCGAAAGCGUGGGGAGCAAACAGG